AUGAACGCUGGCGGCGUGCCUAAUACAUGCAAGUCGAGCGAACAGACGAGGAGCUUGCUCCUCUGACGUUAGCGGCGGACGGGUGAGUAACACGUGGAUAACCUACCUAUAAGACUGGGAUAACUUCGGGAAACCGGAGCUAAUACCGGAUAAUAUAUUGAACCGCAUGGUUCCAUAGUGAAAGACGGUUUUGCUGUCACUUAUAGAUGGAUCCGCGCCGCAUUAGCUAGUUGGUAAGGUAACGGCUUACCGAGGCGACGAUGCGUAGCCGACCUGAGAGGGUGAUCGGCCACACUGGAACUGAGACACGGUCCAGACUCCUACGGGAGGCAGCAGUAGGGAAUCUUCCGCAAAGGGCGAAAGCCUGACGGAGCAACGCCGCGUGAGUGAUGAAGGUCUUCGGAUCGUAAAACUCUGUUAUUAGGGAAGAACAAAUGUGUAAGUAACUAUGCACGUCUUGACGGUACCUAAUCAGAAAGCCACGGCUAACUACGUG
rnacentral:rRNA from 1 species